GUCCUUUAAAAAAUAUGCAAUAAAAUUGGAAUGAUGCGGAGAAGAUUAUCAUGAUCCCGCACAAGAAUGACACACAAAAAUCGAAGAAUAUGCAAAAUUAA